GGGGAAUAUUGGACAAUGGGGGGAACCCUGAUCCAGCCAUGCCGCGUGAGUGAAGAAGGCCUUCGGGUUGUAAAGCUCUUUCGGCCGGGAAGAAAUCGUGCAGGCUAAUACCCUGUAUGGAUGACGGUACCGGAAUAAGAAGCACCGGCUAACUACGUGCCAGCAGCCGCGGUAAUACGUAGGGUGCGAGCGUUAAUCGGAAUUACUGGGCGUAAAGCGUGCGCAGGCGGUUUUGUAAGACAGGCGUGAAAUCCACGGGCUUAACCUGGGAACUGCGCUUGUGACUGGUCGGCUAGAGUACGGCAGAGGGGGGUGGAAUUCCACGUGUAGCAGUGAAAUGCGUAGAGAUGUGGAGGAACACCGAUGGCGAAGGCAGCCCCCUGGGCCGAUACUGACGCUCAUGCACGAAAGCGUGGGUAGCAAACA
rnacentral:rRNA from 1 species